rnacentral:rRNA from 1 species
GACGAACGCUGGCGGCGUGCUUAACACAUGCAAGUCGAGCGGAAAGGCCACUUCGGUGGUACUCGAGCGGCGAACGGGUGAGUAACACGUGAGUAAUCUGCCCCUGGCUUUGGGAUAGCCACCGGAAACGGUGAUUAAUACCGGAUACGACCACUUCUCGCAUGGGAUGGUGGUGGAAAGUUUUUCGGCCAGGGAUGUGCUCGCGGCCUAUCAGCUUGAUGGUGAGGUAAUGGCUCACCAUGGCUUCGACGGGUAGCCGGCCUGAGAGGGUGACCGGUCACACUGGGACUGAGACACGGCCCAGACUCCUACGGGAGGCAGCAGUGGGGAAUAUUGGACAAUGGGCGGAAGCCUGAUCCAGCAACGCCGCGUGAGGGAUGACGGCCUUCGGGUUGUAAACCUCUUUCAGCAGGGACGAAGCGCAAGUGACGGUACCUGCAGAAGAAGCACCGGCCAACUACGUGCCAGCAGCCGCGGUAAAAC